rnacentral:lncRNA from 1 species
GAAGUUUAAGCUUUUUUGUGUUUUGUUGAUUAGUCAGAGACAUUUCGAGCAGGCAGAGGAUCAUUAUGGACAGCGCUGUCUGAGAAGAGCCAUGGCAGACUGGCAUCUGUAUGUAGAUCACAAAAGACAGAAGAGAGAGAAACUUGCACGAAUGGAGAAACAUUACAACAGUAGAUUGCUCAGACAUGCUCUAGAGGCUUGGAAGUCAUACCAUUUGCAGACUCAAUCGAUCAACCAAAAUGUAGAGUGCCGUUACCAGGAGCAUCAGCAGCACCUUGUCAGAAGAAUGUUCUAUUCGUGGAGGAUAAACGUGGCACAGUUGACGGAAGAGAGAGAGAAGGAAAGCAGAGCAAAAUGUUUUUCUCAAAAGCACCUUCUAUCUCAGGUGUUUCUGGAAUGGCGACAGAGAACAGUAUCUGCUCAUCUUCACUGUCACCAGCAGGAGGAGGCUCUGAAACGAGCUCAAACGCACCUGGAUGAAUUUCACUUGCAGGUGGCUUUGAGAAGAUGGAGAGAGCGAAGCACAGAGGUAAAAGACGAGAGACUCGAGAAUGAGAGGGCCAGCACACACUACAGCAGAACCCUGGGGAAAAGAACCCUCAACACAUGGACCACUAAUAUUCAGCAUCACAAAACUUAUCAGGUAAUGAAGAAAAGAAGCUUUGAGCUUCAUAAGUUGAGGAUUUGUCAGCACUUUUUUAUCUGCUGGAAACACAGCUGCAGAGCAGAAGAAUAGAAGCAGAGAAAACUGAGACUGCCCUUUGGCAUUGGUCCCUCAACCUACAGGCCAAGGUAAUGCCAGAUCAUGCACCACUUAUUAAUGAUAAUGCAAGUUUCCUGCAACUGCAUAAUUUC